CGGCAUCAAAGUGCCUUGGGAACGCGACGUACUGGUACGAAAGACCGCCUGUUGGGGAUAGGAGUUGGUAUGGGAUUUUACCCCUGCUCUUAAAUUGCGCGCAUGUCGUACAUAAAUAUUACACAACUACAUAGAUGAUCCGUUUUGAGAAGCUUUUGGUGUUUAGUUGAUUGAUGGGGCCAUCGGUCUUGUAUUCGUUCAUUCUAACUAACUAGAAUAACUGUCUUGUUA
rnacentral:lncRNA from 1 species